GAACUUAGACACCUCCCCUCAAGCGCAGGACCAGGUGGAGAGUGGACUCCUUCUGGAUGUUGUAAUCAGACAGGGUGCGCCCAUCUUCCAGCUGUUUCCCGGCAAAGAUCAACCUCUGCUGGUCAGGGGGGAUGCCCUCUUUGUCCUGGAUCUUCGCCUUGACAUUCUCGAUGGUGUCACUGGGCUCCACCUCCAGGGUGAUGGUCUUGCCCGUCAAGGUCUUCACGAAGAUCUGCAUGCCCCCUCUGAGGCGGAGGACCAGGUGCAGAGUGGACUCCUUCUGGAUGUUGUAGUCAGACAGGGUGCGCCCAUCUUCCAGCUGUUUCCCGGCAAAGAUCAACCUCUGCUGGUCAGGGGGGAUGCCCUCUUUUUCCUGGAUCUUCCCUUUGACAUUCUCGAUGGUGUCACUGGGCUCCACCUCCAGGGUGAUGGUCUUACCCGUCAAGGUCU
rnacentral:lncRNA from 1 species